GCCCCUGUAGUAUAAACUAAUACACUAGCCUUGUAAACUAGAAAUGGAGCAUAUCCCUGGGACA
rnacentral:tRNA from 1 species